rnacentral:rRNA from 1 species
GAUGAACGCUAGCGGCAGGCCUAAUACAUGCAAGUCGAACGAGAUUACGAGGCUUGCUUCUUAUGAAAGUGGCGCACGGGUGCGUAACGCGUAUGCAACCUACCUUAAUCAGGGGGAUAGCCCGAAGAAAUUCGGAUUAAGACCGCAUAAAAACACAGGAUAGCAUUAUCCAAUGUUCAAAUAUUUAUAGGAUUAAGAUGGGCAUGCGUGUCAUUAGCUAGUUGGCGGGGUAACGGCCCACCAAGGCGACGAUGACUAGGGGAUCUGAGAGGAUGACCCCCCACACUGGUACGGAGACACGGACCAGACUCCUACGGGAGGCAGCAGUAAGGAAUAUUGGUCAAUGGAGGGAACUCUGAACCAGCCAUGCCGCGUGCAGGAAGACAGCCCUCUGGGUCGUAAACUGCUUUUAUUCGGGAAUAAACCUUUCUACGUGUAGGAAGCUGAAUGUACCGAAGGAAUAAGGAUCGGCUAACUUCGUG